rnacentral:rRNA from 1 species
UACGGAGGGUGCGAGCGUUAAUCGGAAUUACUGGGCGUAAAGCGCGCGUAGGCGGUUUGAUUAGUCGGGUGUGAAAGCCCCGGGCUUAACCUGGGAACUGCGUCCGAUACUGGCAGGCUUGGAUUCGGGAGAGGGACGUGGAAUUCCAGGUGUAGCGGUGAAAUGCGUAGAUAUCUGGAGGAACACCGGUGGCGAAGGCGGCAUCCUGGACCGAGAUCGACGCUGAGGCGCGAAAGCUAGGGGAGCAAACGGG